AUGACAGAUUAUUGUAUUCGACUGUAUUCACGGCGUGAAAUAGGAGAUUACAAUGUCUUUAAACGGAAAGUGAACCAAUUAACAUAAUAUACUCCU
rfam:Nicotiana attenuata strain TT chromosome 9, whole genome shotgun sequence.